rnacentral:rRNA from 1 species
UGGGGAAUAUUGGACAAUGGGGGCAACCCUGAUCCAGCCAUGCCGCGUGUGUGAAGAAGGCCUUUUGGUUGUAAAGCACUUUAAGCAGUGAAGAAGACUCCAUGGUUAAUACCCAUGGACGAUGACAUUAGCUGCAGAAUAAGCACCGGCUAACUCUGUGCCAGCAGCCGCGGUAAUACAGAGGGUGCAAGCGUUAAUAGGAAUUACUGGGCGUAAAGCGAGCGUAGGUGGCUUGAUAAGUCAGAUGUGAAAGCCCCGGGCUUAACCUGGGAACGGCAUCUGAUACUGUUAGGCUAGAGUAGGUGAGAGGAAGGUAGAAUUCCAGGUGUAGCGGUGAAAUGCGUAGAGAUCUGGAGGAAUACCGAUGGCGAAGGCAGCCUUCUGGCAUCAUACUGACACUGAGGUUCGAAAGCGUGGGUAGCAAACA